CACGUAGGGUGCGAGCGUUGUCCGGAAUUAUUGGGCGUAAAGAGCUCGUAGGCGGUGUGUCGCGUCGGCCGUGAAAACCUGCAGCUUAACUGUGGGCUUGCGGUCGAUACGGGCAUCACUGGAGUUCGGCAGGGGAGACUGGAAUUCCUGGUGUAGCGGUGAAAUGCGCAGAUAUCAGGAGGAACACCGGUGGCGAAGGCGGGUCUCUGGGCCGAAACUGACGCUGAGGAGCGAAAACGUGGGGAGCAAACAGG
rnacentral:rRNA from 1 species